rnacentral:lncRNA from 1 species
AGCUCCUCCCGGCGUCGGAGCGGAGUGAGCAUCGCCAGCUGGGCCGCGGCCACUGAAGAUAGAGGCCCCAGGCCCCAGCGUGGGGGCAGGGAAGAAAGUUGUGUGGUACAAGAGAGUUUCAGGAAACCGAAACCUAGGCGGCCGGUGUGGGCGCCAGUCCCCUGAGGCGUAGGCACCACCGGGCGAGCGGAUUCCUGAGCAAGAACUGCAGCAGCAAUAGCUGGAAUUUCAAGAGCUUAGGGGAUAAUGACACCUCUGACCUUUCUCUCUUUGGAGGACAUACAGAAGAGGAG